rnacentral:rRNA from 1 species
UACAGAGGUCUCAAGCGUUGUUCGGAUUCAUUGGGCGUAAAGGGUGCGCAGGCGGCGUUCCGCGUGGCGAGAUGAAAUCUCCUGGCUUACCUGGGAGGGUGGUCGCCAGACGGGAGCGCUUGAGGGUCGGAGAGGGGCGUGGAAUUCCGGGUGGAGCGGUGAAAUGCGCAGAUAUCGGGAAGAACACCCGUGGCGAAGGCGGUUCUCUGGGACGGUACUGACGCUGAGACGCGAAAGCGUGGGGAGCGAACAGG